rnacentral:ncRNA from 1 species
AAUUAUAGUGGCCGCGAUGGUUCCCGCCGCUCCCAGGGCGUCGGGUGAAAAUGGGAACACGGUGCGGCCCCCGAAAAGGGGACCAACUCCGUGACUGCCCCCGCAACUGUAAGCGGAGAGGGUUCGGCCCCUUAGAGAUCGCCACUGGUCGCCCAAGCGACUGGGAAGGCUAUGCCGGACCUCAUGACCCGCAAGUCAGGAGACCUGCCAUCGCGAGAGUCGUUGC